AGCAUUCUCUGGUGUUGAAGGCCCUGCAAAGCAGCAUCGCGGUGGCGGAGCGUCGUUUGCGACGCCCAACACACAAAACAAGCGGUGAGUGCUUUGGGGUGGGGUGACUGCGUACCUUUUGUAUAAUGGGUCAGCGACUUAUAUUCUGUAGCAAGGUUAACCGAAUAGGGGAGCCGCAGGGAAACCGAGUCUUAAUUGGGCGUUAAGUUGCAGGGUAUAGACCCGAAACCCGGUGAUCUAGCCAUGGGCAGGUUGAAGGUUGGGUAACACUAACUGGAGGACCGAACCGACUAAUGUUGAAAAAUUAGCGGAUGACCUGUGGCUGGGGGUGAAAGGCCAAUCAAACCGGGAGAUAGCUGGUUCUCCCCGAAAGCUAUUUAGGUAGCGCCUCGUGAAUUCAUCUCCGGGGGUAGAGCACUGUUUCGGCUAGGGGGCCAUCCCGGCUUACCAACCCGAUGCAAACUGCGAAUACCGGAGAAUGUUAUCACGGGAGACACACGGCGGGUGCUAACGUCCGUCGUGAAGAGGGAAACAACCCAGACCGCCAGCUAAGGUCCCAAAGUCAUGGUUAAGUGGGAAACGAUGUGGGAAGGCCCAGACAGCCAGGAUGUUGGCUUAGAAGCAGCCAUCAUUUAAAGAAAGCGUAAUAGCUCACUGGUCGAGUCGGCCUGCGCGGAAGAUGUAACGGGGCUAAACCAUGCACCGAAGCUGCGGCAGCGAACGUAUCACUUAAAGCGAUUCAGCGGGUUACGAUUGACGGAGCGAAGCGACGUCAAAGCGUAUACAAAGUCGAGUCGGUUUAAGGAUACGUU
rnacentral:rRNA from 1 species